UACGGAGGGGGCGAGCGUUAUUCGGAAUUAUUGGGCGUAAAGGGCGCGUAGGCGGCUUCUUAAGUCAAAGGUGAAAUCCCUCGGCUCAACUGAGGAACUGCCUUUGAAACUGGGGAGCUUGAGUCCGGGAGGGGGUAGCGGAAUUCCCAGUGUAGCGGUGAAAUGCGUAGAUAUCUGGAGGAACACCGGUGGCGAAGGCGGCAUCCUGGACCGGCAUUGACGCUGAGGCGCGAAAGCCAGGGGAGCAAACGGG
rnacentral:rRNA from 1 species